rnacentral:rRNA from 1 species
AACGAACGCUGGCGGCAUGCCUAACACAUGCAAGUCGAACGGGAGCUUCGGGUCUAGUGGCGCACGGGUGCGUAGCGCGGGGGGACCUGCCCUUAGGUUUGGAAUAACUCCCCGAAAGGGGUGCUAAUACCGGAUAAUAUCUUCAGACCGAAGAUUUAUCGCCUUUGGAUGGGCCCGAGUUGGAUUAGCUGGUUGGUAGGGUAAAAGGGUACCAAGGCGAGGAUCCGUAGCGGGUCAGAGAGGAUGAGCACACACACUGGCACGGGGACACGGCCCAGAAUCCUACGGGAGGGGGCAGUGGGUGAUACUGGAAAGCCGGGGGAGUGCUGAAGGACCUAGGCCGGGAGAGUGCUGAAGGCUUGAGGGUAGUAAAGCUCUUUUAUCCGGGAUGAUAAUGACGGUACCGGGAGAAUAAGCACCGGCUAACUCCGUG